rnacentral:lncRNA from 1 species
GCUUGAACAAUUUAAGGUAAAUCAUCAAUUAAGAUUAUGCAAAUAGCCUACCAAAAAAAGGACUUCAACAUAUAUAAAUACAUCGAGUAACACAUAUUAGUAACAACACCAGCAACUCAUUAAUUUUUGACAAUUUGUAAAGCCUAAUUUUAUUGCCCUGGUGACCUUACCUUACCUCAAUAUGUAAGGAAUCAGCCCAAGAAAAUGAACUAUAUGCAGUCCCUUUGGCAAGAAAGAGCAGGAAAGACACUGCUGAAAAAUGAUCGUCUAGGCUUCUAUUUAAUAUGAAUUCAUAUACAGGGAGCCUCUGAAUACUGCUUUCCCUUUUAAUGCCACGAUAUCCAAUUAGUUGAUGUGAUUUGGGUGAUCUACCAGACUGCCACUCCCAGAAAUUGCACUUUCCCUACCAAGUAUUAAUAACCCUACAUAACAACAAUUAGAGAUCAACACAAUACUACAUGUUUCAAUAACAUAUAACUUAAAUUGUUUAGCUUCUUAAACACAAAACUCAUGCUUUAACUUCCCAAGAACACACUAAUUAUCUACAGAAGCAAAAUGUGUCACUCAUACCUUGUUGCAAAGUAAAUGCUGAAAACCAAAAUGUUAAAUCAAAAGGGAGAAAAGUGAAACACAAUUCCAUUGUUGUCAUGGAUCAGUCAAAGUCGCCAUGACAACUUUGAGUGAGCCAUGGUUGCUAACACAUCAGUUCUGACAGAGAAAAGAGAUACCAAAAGCUCCCCCAGUGCCUCCAACUCUACCCCUAGUCAAAGAACAUCAUUUGCACCUUCUUUCACAUAUCUACUACUUAUCCAAAUGUAGUAAAUAAAAUAAAAAUAAAAAGUAAAGUAUUACCUCCCAUCAUCAACAUCAAUAUCUCAAGUAACAAAUGAAAGCAUCAAGGCCCUUAUCCUGAACUGCUCUAAACUGCUGGUGCAUUUGAAUCUACUACAGUAUUCCUACAAGAUGGCCCUAAAAUUUUUCAAAAAAAAUAAAAGUCUUUCAACUAGCAUACCAACAUACAGAUUGCCACAAAGGAGAUUGCAAAUGGAUUCAAAGCUGAACUGAAGUAAACACUUACCGAAUUAACAUAGGCACGGGC